ACAUGCUCACAUGGAUGGACUGGACAGAACUGUCAGCAGGACAUCGAUAAAUGUAGCAGAGAACCAUGCCAACAUGGACGCUGUGAGAACGAAGAUGGCGGCUACAAAUGUACCUGCUCACCUGGAUGGACUGGACAGAACUGUCAGCAAGACAUCGAUGAAUGUAUCAGGAAACCAUGCCAACAUGGACGCUGUGUGAACAAAGAUGGCGGCUACAAAUGCACAUGCUCACAUGGAUGGACUGGACAGAACUGUCAGCAGGACAUCGAUAAAUGUAGCAGAGAACCAUGCCAACAUGGACGCUGUGAGAACGAAGAUGGCGGCUACAAAUGUACCUGCUCACCUGGAUGGACUGGACAGAACUGUCAGCAGG